GUACAGCGCUUCACUGUGAGAUGUUUCUUUUUUUUCUUUUUCUUUAGAUGCAAGCGUUGAAGCAUCGGUGUCAAACGUCCCAUCAUGCAGUAACUUGUAACUAUGUCACCUUAGAUUAAAAUGUUACCUAAGUAAAAGAUGACUGACAACGUGAUCUCUAACACAUUCUCUGCACAUGAUUUCUGAUAAAUGAGGAAUUCAUGCAUCAGACAGAACUAAGAUCGUAUCACUUCCCUUUUGUAUGCAAUGCUACCACUUAACCUUCAGUUUGAGAGAAAAAUGACCAACCAUUCUCUUCAUGUGAACAUUGACAAGUGGAUUGCUGAGAAUGAAAGUUCAUUUGUACCACCUGUUUGCAACAAAUUAAUGUUCUUUUAUCAAUUGAAUAUUAUGUAUGUUGGUGGUCCAAAUGUGAGAAAGGAUUAUCACAUUGAGGAAGGGGAAGAGCUCUUUUACCAGGUGAGGGGUGACAUGGUUUUGAAAGUGAUAGAGAAUGGCAAGCAUAAAGAAGUACAUAUUCGAGAAGGAGAGAUGUUCCUGCUUCCAGCGCGGAUUCCCCACUCCCCUCAGAGACAGGCAAACACAGUAGGGCUGGUCGUGGAGAGGAGGCGGCUUCGUUCAGAGACAGAUGGCCUGAGGUACUUUGUGGCUAAUAGUACAGAUGUCUUGUUUGAACGUUGGUUCUACUGUGAGAACCUUGGAACCCAACUUGUUCCCAUCAUCAAAGAGUUUAUGGAAUCCAAACAGCACAAAACAGGAAAACCUGAUCCAGCUGAACCCAUCAAGCCAGCCCCAUACCCACUCAACACUAUGAAUGUGAUGACACCGUUCUGCUUUAGAGAGUGGGUGGAAAAGCAGAAGCCUGCCUUGGCCAGUGGUCAGCCGGUGGAUAUGUUUGGAGCAAAGUUUGAGACGGAGACGCUACUCUUUGGUCCUGGGACAUCUGAAUCCUCUAGAAGACGAACUGAUGGCUGGAUUUGGCAGCUGGAGGGGUCCUCCAAUGUCUUCAUGAAUGGCAAGGAGUACAUCCUGUCUGCAGUGGAUUGUCUGCUUAUAUUUGGAGAAACAGAGUAUCAGUGGAAACGGUCACAGGAUUGUGUUGCUUUGUAUGUUGCUCAAGACCCAGACAGGAAGAGACCUUACUGAGACACAUAAAGGCAUAAGAUCCCUUGUUUAGGGCAAAAUGGGUGGUUAUUGCUGCUCUCCCUGCUCUUAUCCAUGCUAGGCGGCCCAGAACAAAACCAUACCACCAAUACAAACUCUAUGCAUUAUCAAUCAUAUUUGACGAUAGUGGUCCUUACAGAAUUGUUACCUAAAGCCUGGGAUACACUGCACAAUUUUCGGCUGUCCCAGAUGAAAGAAUGCCAUCGUGAUACAAUCGUGGCGAUUUCUGUGAUCAUGGCUUUUACUCGGUGGUCCUAUGUCGUACAGUGAGAGAGGUUCAAAGACGGCCAUUUUCCCGGGCUUGUGACCAAAGAUAGCUUACGAUAAUUUUCUGACAGUGUCAGAAAUUCAGCAUGAUCAACGCACAGUGUGUUUGCUGCUACGACCCAUGUCUACUGACCAGCCAAUAAAAAUGCGACAUGAAAUCGAGACAUGGCACUAAAAUUUAAAACUGCUUACAUCAAGCUCUUUUCACCUUCUUCUUUUGCCGCUUCCUUUUUUUUUUAGCACACAUAAAAACUACAACUGCCAAAGUGUGAUUCAGCAUGGUCUUUUUGUUUACCACUAGCACAUGCUGAUGAAGUUUUAUUCUUAUAUAGAAAGUCAAUAAGUGUCAUCAUCGUACAGUCUACAUGCAUGCAUGUCAUACCCAAGUUUAAUAGAUCUAUGUCGCACAGUGUGAUUUGUAAUGAUCUUAUAGGAUUGCUAAAAUCGUGCAGUGUAUCCCGGGCUUAAGGUAACAAUGCUGAAAUAUCAGAGCGGAGGGCUGUUUCACAAAAGACGCUAAGAAAAGUGGGGAUUAAACUCCAACACCUGACUUGAAUGAACCUAACAAAUAAGUUGGGGCUAAAGCAGUUUCGUAAAAGGUGCGCUGCAGUGCUACGGGGGUAAUCAGGUGGAUUGGUUACACCGGUGCACAGGUGUGCCCCUGUCUAGAAAAGCAUCCUGGCUUGCUUUCAUGAGGCGGGCGAUUUCUCCUUACAUCGAUCCCUGGCUAGGACCAAGGCAGAAACUGGCACUGUCACAUGCUUUGAAAGGCUUUGCAGCCGAAAUUUUGUGAUUAAAAAUUUAAAUAAAUUUGUUUUUGAAAAUGCA